AGGGGGUGAACCGUAGUUUAUAGAAUGAGACAGAGUAGAGGGGGAGAACUGUAGUUUAUAGAAUGAGACAGAGAGAAGAGGGGGUGAACCGUAGCAUAUAGAAUGAGACAGAGAAGAGGGGGUAAACCGUAGUAUAUAGAAUGAGACAGAGAGAAGAGGGGGUGAACCGUAGUUUAUAGAAUGAGACAGAGAGUAGAGGGGGUGAACCGUAGUAUAUAGAAUGAGACAGAGAGAAGAGGGGGUGAACAGUAGUUUAUAGAAUGAGACAGAGAGAAGAGGGGGUGAACCGUAGUUUAUAGAAUGAGACAGAGUAGAGGGGGUGAACCGUAGUAUAUAGAAUGAGACAGAGAGAAGAGGGGGUGAACCGUAGUUUAUAGAAUGAGACAGAGAGAAGAGGGUGAACCGUAGUAUAUAGAAUGAGACAGAGAGUAGAGGGGGUGAACUGUAGUAUAUAGAAUUAGACAGAGAGAAGAGGGGGUGAACCGUAGAAUAUAGAAUGAGACAGAGUAGAGGGGGUGAACCGUAGUAUAUAGAAUGAGACAGAGAGAAGACGGGGUGAACCGUAGUAUAUAGAAUGAGACAGAGAGAAGAGAGGGUGAACCGUAGUAUAUAGAAUGAGACAGAGUAGAGGGGGUGAACCGUAGUAUAUAGAAUGAGACAGAGUAGAGGGGGUGAACCGUAGUAUAUAGAAUGAGACAGAGUAGAGGGGGUGAACUGUAGUAUAUAGAAUGAGACAGAGUAGAGGGGGAAAACUGUAAUUUAUAGAAUGAGACAGAGAGAAGAGGGGGUGAACCGUAGUAUAAAGAAUGAAACAGAGUAGAGGGGGAGAACCGUAGUAUAUAGAAUGAGACAGAGUAGAGGGGGUGAACCGUAGUAUAUAGAAUGAGACAGAGAAGAGGGGGUGAACCGUAGUUUAUAGAAUGAGACAGAGAGAAGAGGGGGUGAACCGUAGUUUAUAGAAUGAGACAGAGAGAGGAGGGGGUGAACCGUAGUUUAUAGAAUGAGACAGAGAAGAGGGGGUGAACCGUAGUAUAUAGAAUGAGACAGAGUAGAAGGGGUGAACAGUAGUAUUUUGAAUGAGACAGAGUAGAGGGGGUGACCGUAGUAUAUAGAAUGAGACAGAGUAGAGGGGGUGAACUGUAGUAAAUACAGUCACCGAGGCGAGGUAACUGAAAAAGAGAUGAAAAGGAAGAGGAUUGGUUUGAGGGGGAAUGUAGCCGUGAUAGAGAGAUUUGAUAGUGAAUUAUUAAUGCGAUUGGGAUGAAGACUAAGAUUGGGAAUGGUAUUGAGAUCUGUGUUGCGGUGGUGGUGACGGAAUGCUGCGGAUUACAGCUGGG
rnacentral:lncRNA from 1 species